rnacentral:rRNA from 1 species
ACGUAGGGUGCAAGCGUUGUUCGGAAUCACUGGGCGUAAAGGGUGCGUAGGCGGUUUGCUAAGUCAGAUGUGAAAGCCCACGGCUUAACUGGGGAAGUGCAUUUGAAACUGUCAGACUUGAGUAUAAGAGGGGAAAGUGGAAUUCCCGGUGUAGAGGUGAAAUUCGUAGAUAUCAGGAGGAAUACCGGUGGCGAAGGCGGCUUUCUGGAUUGUAACUGACGCUGAGGCGCGAAAGCGUGGGGAGCAAACAG